UUCGGUGAAAUCAAGCUCAAAGCAUCGGUUCUUGUUCGCUCACCGAACUUAAACAAUAUCGAACCCGGUUAGUACUUAGUUGGGGGACCGCUUGGGAACACCCGGUACUGUAAG